AUUGAACGCUGGCGGCAGGCCUAACACAUGCAAGUCGAGCGGCGAGGCGGACGGGUGAGUAAUGCCUAGGAAUCUUCCUGGUAGUGGGGGAUAACGUCCGGAAACGGACGCUAAUACCCCAUACUAUCAGAUUAGCCUAGGUCGGAUUAGCUAGGUGGUUGGGUAAAGGCCUACCAAGGCGACGAUCCGUAACUGGGCUGAGGGGAUGAUCAGUCACACUGGAACUGAGACACGGUCCAGACUCCUACGGGAGGCAGCAGUGGGGAAUAUUGGACAAGGGGCGAAAGCCUGAUCCAGCCAUGCCGCGUGUGUGAAGAAGGUCUUCGGAUUGUAAAGCACUUUAAGUUGGGAGGCGUUACCAACAGAAUAAGCACCGGCUAACUUCGUGCCAGCAGCCGCGGUAAUUC
rnacentral:rRNA from 1 species